UACGUAGGGUGCGAGCGUUGCCCGGAAUUAUUGGGCGUAAAGAGCUCGUAGGCGGUGUGUCACGUCGGCCGUGAAAACCUGCAGCUUAACUGUGGGCGUGCGGUCGAUACGGGCAUCACUGGAGUUCGGCAGGGGAGACUGGAAUUCCUGGUGUAGCGGUGAAAUGCGCAGAUAUCAGGAGGAACACCGGUGGCGAAGGCGGGUCUCUGGGCCGAUACUGACGCUGAGGAGCGAAAGCGUGGGGAGCGAACAGG
rnacentral:rRNA from 1 species